rnacentral:sRNA from 2 species
GUUUCACGAAACUAGGGUUCCGGCUUUCCCAGGGAAAGUGACUGGUCCGAGAGUUUCGGGCCCUGCCAGCAGGGUUCCACGGAGGGAUAAAAGCCCGGGAGGU